UACAGAGGUCUCAAGCGUUGUUCGGAUUCAUUGGGCGUAAAGGGUGCGUAGGCGGCGCGGUAAGUCGGGUGUGAAAUCUUGGAGCUUAACUCCGAAACUGCAUUCGAUACUGCCGUGCUUGAGGACUGGAGAGGAGACUGGAAUUUACGGUGUAGCGGUGAAAUGCGUAGAUAUCGUAAGGAAGACCAGUGGCGAAGGCGGGUCUCUGGGCCGAAACUGACGCUGAGGAGCGAAAGCGUGGGGAGCGAACAGG
rnacentral:rRNA from 1 species